rnacentral:misc_RNA from 2 species
ACACCUCAACUCUCAUGGUUUGCCAUGAUGAGCUUGGACUUUGGAGGUCUUGCUGGCCAGCGGUCGGCUCCUCUCAAAUGAAUCAGCUUGCCAGUGUUUGGCGGCGCCACAGGUGUGAUAACUAUCUACGCUUGUGGUUUCCCGCCAGGUUUCCUUCAGUGAUGGAGGUUCGCUGGAGCUCAUAAAUGUCCCUCCCCAGUGAGGACAACUUCAUGAAU